GGCUACUGAUUUUGGAAGGCACCCAGAUUUCCGUAAAAAGUUAGAUGUGGAGCAACUAGCAAAAUCUGUUCGUAGUUGGCCCGGUAUCAAAUAUAAUGUUUCAACAUGCAAAUCGAUCCAUAUCCCAGUACAAUCCAUUGAUGAAUUCAUUCUAUUCACAUUGGACCAAGAUACAAGAACAUUAUACAUUUUGGACCCUACUCCUUUUAAUCCAAUAUACCGAACAACCCACUCGCAAAAUAUUUGAAAAAAUUAUAUGGAUUAACGAACACUUACCGAAAGCAAUGUCAAAAGCAUGCCCUGGGUCUAGAUGGAACGAGGAUAUUCUCCUAUGGCAUCAUAAAAUCCUAGAUGAUAUUCCAGUUUACAACAGGGAAUUGUCUGGUUAUCUUGUUCCCCUAUUCAUGUCCACAUGGGAAGAUGAAAGACCACAUUUGCCAUUUUUAAAGGUAAAUAUUGCAACCGUGUAGAUAUUUGCUUUUAUGAUUAUUAUACAUCUAAUGCUGAUGUCAUUCUUUUACAAAAAAAUGAAUGAAUUGGAUGGAUAUGAACUCAAAAAACUAAUUUUGGGCCAAGUGCUAACAUUCAAGGACAAUGAAUGUGAAGAUAACAUGCCUGCUGGUGUAUUGGAAUUCAUCAAUUGUAUUAGGAAAAUCCAAAAUUAAAUUGGGAGCUCAAUCGGUGGAAGGUGAUUUGUCAGAGAGAAUUCUUGCAGCCAACAAUUAAUAGACAAUGAGCAGGGAGACAAUGACAAUUAAUAAUAGAUUUUGGUUUCUACUUAAGAUAUCGCUUACAUAUAUGUAGAAAAACUUUGGAGCUUGCCAGGAUAUAGUUUUUUUGGGGUUACCAAUUAUAAGCGAUGAUGGAGUGCUUCAAAAUUUGAUGUUUGGGGGUUCAAACAUGACAAUACUGUGGAAAUCACAAAUAAUACAGAAUCAUGUACCGUGUUGAUCAAUAAUUAUUUUAUAGUUUGUUUCUAGUGAUUUUA